GCCUGCGUAGCUCAGCUGGUUAGAGCCUGGUGCAGAUGGCGCUGAGGUUGCAGGUUCGAUCCCUGCAUAUCCCUGCAUUGCAGGGG